UACGAAGGGGGCUAGCGUUGUUCGGAAUUACUGGGCGUAAAGCGCACGUAGGCGGAUACUUAAGUCAGGGGUGAAAUCCCGGGGCUCAACCCCGGAACUGCCUUUGAUACUGGGUAUCUCGAGUCCGGAAGAGGUGAGUGGAAUUCCGAGUGUAGAGGUGAAAUUCGUAGAUAUUCGGAGGAACACCAGUGGCGAAGGCGGCUCACUGGUCCGGUACUGACGCUGAGGUUCGAAAGCGUGGGGAGCAAACAGG
rnacentral:rRNA from 1 species